GGUGAUGCAGAGGACUUCAAGGGUUUCAAGUUUAUUGUUGUUUCGAUGUCUUAUUUUCCAUACAUAAGCUACAAGUAUAUACAAAGUGCUAACGGCCCUAUAGUACUCUACCUUGAGGACUCUCUCAACACUCGCAUGCUUAACACUCUUGCUCGGCAUAUGAACUUUACGUACGAGCUGCGGCAUGCGUCUGACGGGAAAUUCGGAACAAAGGCGGAAGGCGGUAACUGGACAGGCGUGGUGGGCACUCUGCAGCACGAGAUGGCAGACUUCUCCAUGGACCUGACAGUGACGCCCGAGAGAGCAGAGGUGGUGGAAUAUUCAAGGGCAUACAUUGAUGAGUCCCUUGUGAUUCUGUCGUCUAAGCCAAAGCCCUUGCCUGAGUACUUGUCGGUGGUCAGACCUCUUGAAGGCGAGGUGUGGGGAGCAAUUGUGAUGUGCGUCAUGAUCUGGGGCUCAGUGCUGUGGAUGAUGGAGAGACUGUCGCACUGGAUUAGCGGAAGGCGUUACCUCAGCUUCACGUCGUCCAUCUUCUAUGGCUGGGGUCUGCUGCUUGAGGAUCGACCCUUUGAACCUCCUUCCACCACGUCC